rnacentral:rRNA from 1 species
UACGAGGCAGCAGUGGGGAAUAUUGCACAAUGGGCGCAAGCCUGAUGCAGCCAUGCCGCGUGUAUGAAGAAGGCCUUCGGGUUGUAAAGUACUUUCAGUCGUGAGGAAGGUGUUAAGGUUAAUAACCUUAGCAAUUGACGUUAGCGACAGAAGAAGCACCGGCUAACUCCGUGCCAGCAGCCGCGGUAAUACGGAGGGUGCGAGCGUUAAUCGGAAUUACUGGGCGUAAAGGGCACGCAGGCGGUUAAUUAAGUUGGAUGUGAAAUCCCCGGGCUUAACCUGGGAAUGGCAUUCAAGACUGGUUAGCUAGAGUCUUGUAGAGGGGGUAGAAUUCCAUGUGUAGCGGUGAAAUGCGUAGAGAUGUGGAGGAAUACCGGUGGCGAAGGCGGCCCCUGGACAAAGGCUGACGCUCAUGUGCGAAAGCGUGGGGAGCAAAC